rnacentral:rRNA from 1 species
AGCCAGUCUCCUACGGGAGGCAGCAGUGGGGAAUAUUGGGCAAUGGGCGCAAGCCUGACCCAGCAACGCCGCGUGAAGGAAGAAGGCUUUCGGGUUGUAAACUUCUUUUGUCAGGGACGAAGCAAGUGACGGUACCUGACGAAUAAGCCACGGCUAACUACGUGCCAGCAGCCGCGGUAAUACGUAGGUGGCAAGCGUUAUCCGGAUUUACUGGGUGUAAAGGGCGUGUAGGCGGGGAAGCAAGUCAGAUGUUAAAACUCAGGGCUCAACCCUGAGCCUGCAUUUGAAACUGUGUUUCUUGAGUGCUGGAGAGGCAAUCGGAAUUCCGUGUGUAGCGGUGAAAUGCGUAGAUAUACGGAGGAACACCAGUGGCGAAGGCGGAUUGCUGGACAGUAACUGACGCUGAGACGCGAAAGCGUGGGGAGCAAACAGGAUUAGAUACCCGUGUAC